rnacentral:rRNA from 1 species
CAGUAGCCGCGGUAACACGUAGGGCGCAAGCGUUGUCCGGAAUUAUUGGGCGUAAAGAGCUCGUAGGCGGCUUGUCACGUCUGCUGUGAAAUCCCGGGGCUCAACCCCGGGCGUGCAGUGGAUACGGGCUGGCUAGAGGCAGGCAGGGGAGAACGGAAUUCCCGGUGUAGCGGUGAAAUGCGCAGAUAUCGGGAGGAACACCGGUGGCGAGGGCGGUUCUCUGGGCCUGUUCUGACGCUGAGGAGCGAAAGCGUGGGGAGCGAACAGGAUUAGAGACCCCAGUAGUCCCUGUCUCUUAUAC